AUUGAACGCUGGCGGCAGGCUUAACACAUGCAAGUCGAGCGGGGUGAUGGUGCUUGCACUAUCACUUAGCGGCGGACGGGUGAGCAAUGCUUAGGAAUCUGCCUAUUAGUGGGGGACAACAUCUCGAUAGGGAUGCUAAUACCGCAUACGUCAUACGGGCGAAAGCAGGGGAGCACUGGUGACCUUGCGCAAAUAGAUGAGUCGAGGGAGGAUUAGCUAGUGGGUGGGGUAAAGGCCAACGAAGGCGACGAUCUGUAGCGGGUGUGAGAGGAAGAGCCGCAACACUGGGACUGGGACACGGCCCAGACUCCUACGGGAGGCAGCAGUAGGGAAUAGUAGACAAUGGGGAGAACCCUGAGCCAGCCAUGCCGCGUGUGUGAAGAAGGCCUUAUUGUUGUGAAGCACUUUAAGCGAGGAGGAGGCUCUUUUGGUUAAUACCCGAGAUGAGUGGACGUUACUCGCAGAAUAAGCACCGGCUAACUCUGUGCCAGCCGCCGCCGUAA
rnacentral:rRNA from 1 species